AUGUAAAGGCCUACAACAUAGUGUUAAUGCACCGUAUCCCAUUAGAAAUCCACAGUUAAGCGCGCUCAGGCUAUAGUAGUACUGGGAUGGGUGAUCGCCUGGGAAGUCUUAGUAUUUUACAUG
rfam:Picea glauca, whole genome shotgun sequence.